UCCCAUUCUAUCUGUACAUGUUUUUCUCCAUACCCUCUCUCUCUCUCUCUCUCUCUCUCUCUCCGCGUGCGAUCUCUCAACCUCUCUUUGAGCAUUGCCUUGAUAGAUCGCGUGACUUCGCAUGGCUUCACAAUGUAUGUCAUUCACUUUCUCUCCCAAUCGAUCAAUUUUUCUGUCUCUUGAUCAUUUUUUUUCCCAAAAGCUUUGAAUUCAUCAAUUUAUUUGAAGUUAGGGUUCAGUGAGAGCCAUGGAAAUGUAGACUACGAAGCCAAAUGCAUUCUCAAUCAAUUGAUCUCAAACCCUAAUUGAUCUCUACACACUCCUCUGUAUCGAACGAUUCGACCUCUGUGCAGUCUCCUCUCUGAUCGCGAACUUGAACCGGUUGAAGUAAUUCAUCGAUGAUUGCAAGUCCAAUCCCUCAAUCCUCUCCGAUCUUUCUCUCUUUUUCUUCCGAGAUUACCUUGAAAGAUAAGAGACUGUUCUAUCGAGGUCAUGGAAGAAAACCGUGAUGCUUCGAAGGAGGCUAAGGUGCAGGGGAAACUGGAGGAAGCAAUAGAACAGCUCACACAGGCUAUUUUGCUCAAUCCAACCUCAGCAAUUAUGUAUUCAGGUUCUUUCAUCGCGAUCGUUUCAGCCGAAGUCUUCUUCGAAGAAUGUUAUCACGCUUCUUGGUUCGUGAAGGUGCACGUAUGUGGGCAAAAUCUAAGGGUAUUCCUUUGCUGGCAAGUAUACUGGAGGCUAAUGAGUGGCUAGUUACAUAGAGGGCAAAAAGACAGUGGGAAAAAUACAAAUCAAUGCUUGAUGAUGCAAAAGCCAUGAAAGCAGAAAUUGAUGGAGAACUUUCCUCUAGCACUCAAGAGAAUGUUGCUGUAUCAGGUUGCUACUGUUCAAGGUCUUUCAGGAACUGGUUCUCUUUGACUCGCUGUUGCACUCAUUGAAGAUAUCUCCCUAGGGCAAAGUUGUAAUAUCAUCCCCAACUUGGGGUAACCACAAGAAUAAUUUCAAUGAUGCUAGAGUUCCUUGGUCUGAAUACAGCUACUAUGAUCCAAAAACAGUUGGUUUGGAUUUUGAUGGGAUGAUAUCUGAGAUAAAGCAAGUGAAGAUGGUGAUGAUGAUGAUAAUUCAGUGACUGAGACUUGAGAUGUUGACACCAUGGUGUCUGAUAAACAAGAAAGCUAAUUGUUACAGCUAAGUGAUGAGUGUUGCAUUGCCAACAACUGUGAAGGAUGGUGAUCAUAAUCAUCUCUGGGCACUAUUGGAUCCCAAAACUUGGACAGUUCUUUCAUAGUGUAGAUCAUGUGAUUUAAAACUCUGGAUAGAUGCAUAAUCAGAUGGCAAAAAUUUGCCAUCUUUCAUAGUGUACAUCAUGUUGAUAAAUGAAUCCUAUGAUUUGGAUACUUUUUUUGAUUUGUAUGUUUGAAAUUGUUAUCAGCUUGAUAUGAUAGAAGUUAAGGAUGAAAAUUAGUAUGCA